rnacentral:rRNA from 1 species
UAAAGGCCGUUUGCUGCUAAUUAACUUAUAAAAGGAAUUUGUUUUACGAGGCGAAGGACCUUGUCUUGGGAAGUACGCUUUGGUUGGGGCAACCGCGGAGUAUAGAAAUCCUCCGUUAAGUUAACUAAAUGAAGUUAUAUCUUUUUUGUGGGCUUACUAUUGGAUUGAUCCGCCUGUAUGAGGGCGAGCAAAUGAACAAGUUACCGCAGGGAUAACAGCGUAAUUCCCUUGGAGAGUUCGUAUUGGUAAGGGAGUUUGCGACCUCGAUGUUGGAUCGGGAUUUCCUGGGGGUGAAGCAGCUCCUAAGGGUUGGUCUGUUCGACCAUUAAAAUCCUACGUGAUCUGAGUUCAGACCGGCGGGAGCCAGGUCAGUUUCUAUCUGCGAUUUUUUAAUUGGGGCUGUCUCUAGUACGAAAGGAUCGAGGGGGCGGUACUACUUCUUUUAGGAAGGUAUCUAAAAUUA